AAAUUGAAGAGUUUGAUCAUGGCUCAGAUUGAACGCUGGCGGCAGGCCUAACACAUGCAAGUCGAGCGGUAGCACAGAGAGCUUGCUCUCGGGUGACGAGCGGCGGACGGGUGAGUAAUGUCUGGGAAACUGCCUGAUGGAGGGGGAUAACUACUGGAAACGGUAGCUAAUACCGCAUAACGUCGCAAGACCAAAGUGGGGGACCUUCGGGCCUCAUGCCAUCAGAUGUGCCCAGAUGGGAUUAGCUAGUAGGUGGGGUAAUGGCUCACCUAGGCGACGAUCCCUAGCUGGUCUGAGAGGAUGACCAGCCACACUGGAACUGAGACACGGUCCAGACUCCUACGGGAGGCAGCAGUGGGGAAUAUUGCACAAUGGGCGCAAGCCUGAUGCAGCCAUGCCGCGUGUGUGAAGAAGGCCUUCGGGUUGUAAAGCACUUUCAGCGGGGAGGAAGGCGUUAAGGUUAAUAACCUUGGCGAUUGACGUUACCCGCAGAAGAAGCACCGGCUAACUCCGUGCCAGCAGCCGCGGUAAUACGGAGGGUGCAAGCGUUAAUCGGAAUUACUGGGCGUAAAGCGCACGCAGGCGGUCUGUCAAGUCGGAUGUGAAAUCCCCGGGCUCAACCUGGGAACUGCAUUCGAAACUGGCAGGCUAGAGUCUUGUAGAGGGGGGUAGAAUUCCAGGUGUAGCGGUGAAAUGCGUAGAGAUCUGGAGGAAUACCGGUGGCGAAGGCGGCCCCCUGGACAAAGACUGACGCUCAGG
rnacentral:rRNA from 1 species